CGGACUUGGUGGGAGGUGACUGGAUAUGGGGGUAGAUCCCUCAUGAAUGGCCUAGCACCACCCUGUUGGUGAUACGUGACUUCUCACUUCUCGCUCAGUUCAUGCUAGAGCUGGUAGUUCAAAAGAGGCUGGCUCCUCCCCUCUCUCAUGCUCUCGCCAUGUGAUCUGCCUGCUCCCCCUUCACCUUCCACCAUGAUUGGAGGCUCCUGAGGCCUCAGCAGAAGCCAAGCAGAUGCCAG
rnacentral:lncRNA from 1 species